rnacentral:rRNA from 1 species
AUGAGUCUUCCUCAAUUGGAAAUAUUUGCGAAAGAUGUUGAUGAAGCGAGAGAGGAGAUAUUUCGAGUUCUUCCGAUGAUGGACCGCAGUGUAAGGAUCAUCUAUUUUGAUGGUUGGGGUGGAUUUGGGGUGUCGGCAGUUCUGCGAUCUAUAGCGAAAGUGCUUCCGUCUGUGAGAACCGCUCCAGAACUAUGCUUUGACAGAAUAAUUCAUAUAGACUGCUCAGAGUGGAAAAGUGAAAGAACAAUGCAGAGAUUAAUUGCAGAGGAACUGAAACUUGACCACUCAGUGAUAUCCAUUCUAGACAAGCAAGAUGAAGAGGAUGAUUUUAGUGGAGUUGACGAAAGUUCAAGGAGUGUAAUAGAACGUGUUGGGCAAAUGAUUGAUCAAACCCUGAGGGGCAGCAAAUUUAUGAUGAUUUUUCUUAAUGGAAGUGAUGUUGAGUUUGACAUAGGCGCCUUUGGUCCCCCAUUUGCAAGAUUUGGCGACAACAUGAUGAUAUGGACCUUCAAAAGAAGAUUCCUGACCAUGAAUCACUGGCGUUCCGAGAUAGCAGACAAGCUAAGAUACACUCACACUCUUUCUUGUGUCCACCCUAUGAUCACAGAACGACUAACAAGUUCAGAGUUUCAAGCAAUACUACGUGAAGAGGCUGCUGCCAUAGUUGCUCGGAGUCCAUGUAUGCUGGACAUCGACCCAACAAUGGUUGCAGAUUGUUGUCUCUAUCAGUUAUUCCUGGAUUGUAACUUCCACACCUUUCAAUGGGUUGCUCAUGCUUCCAACUGUUGGAUGUGCGAUGGGAUCAUACAAGGGGACAGAGCAAGGGAUAUCAGUAUUGCAUUGCAUGGAAAGUUAAAUUGGGAGCGCGGUGCUCCUUUGGUUAAUGGUAUGCUUAGGAAGUUCAUGAAACAUACAGAGCCUCCUUUUUUGAUACUUCAAGAUGAUGAUGUCUAUGAAGAAAGGCCAUACCGCUGGAUUUCAGUCACAUCGAGGAAUACGAAAUUACAUGGUUUGCAAACUAUACCUGCAGCGGCAUCAUCUUUCUUCUUGGCAUUUGAAAGAUCGGAUUACCCAAUUCCGUUGCCACAUGGCUUGUUUGAGCAUUCCAACAACCUUGGUGUGUUAGUUCUCUGUUGUUGUGCCUUCAGUUUUGCAGCACCUCCUUUCCUGAAAAGCCAUCGCCUAAGAUUCCUUGGACUGGACUGUUGUAUAGAUGACCAAACUGGUGGCGGACAGGAUCAUAGAGAGUGGGCAAGUUUGUAUAGCCUGUGGGUGCUACACCUUUCUUACACAGACUGGAAUGAAAUAUUAUCUGAAGAAAAGAUGGAUCUCAUGACUAAUAUUAAAGAGCUCAAUAUAGAGGGAACAAGGUGUUGGCAGUACAUCGCUGACUUGCAAGGGCGGCUACCUAACCUUCAAAGGCUCCGAAUAAUCAAACCAACAUGUCAAUGGGAGACAUCCAGGGAUGUUGGCAACUCCUUUAUGGAUAAGACAAGGAUAGAGAUACUUGAUUUAUCAGGUAACACUGAGAUGGAAGUUGUGCCAACAAGCCUCUCAAAGGCGAGUGGACUUCGAGUGCUUGUACUUGAUGGUUGUGAUGGGGUGGAAAACAUUGAUGGCCCUGGUGGGCUUCCUUCGUCCAUUGAGUCCUUCAGCUUUGAUGGUUAUGGCCCAGCUUUCGAAUGGACACCAAGCAUUGAACUACCUUUCAAACAUUUCUGUCCACCUACGACAACAGAAACAAAUAAUAGGGAUAUCAAAGUCUCCAAGAUCUCCUUAGCAGGGUGUAAACAGUUGAAAAAUCUGUUCCUGCGUGGGCUACCCAACCUCUUGGAGCUGGACCUCUCUGGAACUGCAAUCAAGAUACUAGACUUCGAAACUAUGGUGGUGCAGGUCCCAGGGCUCAAGCGGCUAUUUCUUAUUGGAUGUGAGCACCUUCGUGCAAUAAAUUUUCCAGGCAAGAGUGACUUUGAGAGAAAUCUGGACCUGGAGCUGCUGUACAUAGACACACGACCUGAAGCUGCGUGUGAUCGGUCAACUAUUGAAGAGAACAAUUCCUCCCAGUUGCAGGUGAAUGCUAUAAUAACUGAUGCAAGGCUAGUCCGGUCAUUGCACUCUUUAAUAUAUUAUGGUAUGAAUAGCCCCAGAGAUGUUUGUUUUGAUAUCCAAGUCACCUCCUCACCUGUGUCUGUUGGGCCUGUUCAACCGGAAGCACCAUGCAGUGAUAAGAUUGGUCAUUCUGAAGAAGAGAGCCUGAAUCAGCUUGUUCCAGCACACCGAUACAGCGAUGUCAGUAGCAUGAUUGGUGAUGCAUCACUCCCAAUGCAGGCUUUCCCGCCUCCGCCUAUGAAGUUGGAUCGGCAUGUUGAGAUCGCUGAAGGGAGCCAUUUCUUGGAGAGCGAGUUGGACAAAUAUCGUGGUCUAGGUGGCCUGAUGGAUUUAUACGCUGAAUCGCUGCACGUGCAUGAUGUCCCGGUAUGUGCUAUUGUGCCUCCUCCAUUUUGGGGGAACAAGCUUAGGCACUUCUGCGUUGAGAGGUGCUCCAAGGUGGACGCCGUCUUCCAAACGAGCCCGGACGGAUUGCUGAAGCUAGAGACUUUAUGGGUGUCGCAUCUCCUAAUGGCCCGUUGGAUCUGCAGUAAAGGCUACCACUUCACCGGUGGUACUUUCAGAAGUUUGCAGCACCUACAUGUGCGCUCCUGCCCCAGCCUCCAGUUUGUGCUCCCGGUGUGGUUCCCCUCCUUCCCUAGCUUGAAGACACUAUACAUUAUCCACUGCAGCAACCUCAAGCACAUCUUCACACUGGACAAUGAGUACCCAGAAGAAAUAGCCGUCCAGGGUGUACUAUUCCCAAAGCUGACCACCAUACACCUUCAUGACCUACCGGAGCUGCAGCAGAUAUGCGAGUUCAAGAUGGUGGCUCCGGCAGUCAAGACCAUCGUGAUCAGAAGAUGCUGGAACCUGUGUCAUCCGCUGCCGGUUGUGGCCACCGAUGACAUAGAGAUCGAGAAGGAUGGCUGUGUCGAGGUGGAUGCUGGCCACCACCCUGACAGUUGGACGCCCCGAUACAAGAUGAAACUGCCCAGGGUCUCCGUCCUUAGGUGA